AGAGUUUGAUCCUGGCUCAGGACGAACGCUGGCGGCGCGCCUAACACAUGCAAGUCGAACGAGAGAUGAGGAGCUUGCUCUUCAAAUCGAGUGGCGAACGGGUGAGUAACGCGUGAGGAACCUGCCUCAAAGAGGGGGACAACAGUUGGAAACGACUGCUAAUACCGCAUAAGCCCACGGCUCGGCAUCGAGCAGAGGGAAAAGGAGCAAUCCGCUUUGAGAUGGCCUCGCGUCCGAUUAGCUAGUUGGUGAGGUAACGGCCCACCAAGGCGACGAUCGGUAGCCGGACUGAGAGGUUGAACGGCCACAUUGGGACUGAGACACGGCCCAGACUCCUACGGGAGGCAGCAGUGGGGAAUAUUGCACAAUGGGGGAAACCCUGAUGCAGCGACGCCGCGUGGAGGAAGAAGGUCUUCGGAUUGUAAACUCCUGUUGUUGAGGAAGAUAAUGACGGUACUCAACAAGGAAGUGACGGCUAACUACGUGCCAGCAGCCGCGGUAAAACGUAGGUCACAAGCGUUGUCCGGAAUUACUGGGUGUAAAGGGAGCGCAGGCGGGAAGACAAGUUGGAAGUGAAAUCUAUGGGCUCAACCCAUAAACUGCUUUCAAAACUGUUUUUCUUGAGUAGUGCAGAGGUAGGCGGAAUUCCCGGUGUAGCGGUGGAAUGCGUAGAUAUCGGGAGGAACACCAGUGGCGAAGGCGGCCUACUGGGCACCAACUGACGCUGAGGCUCGAAAGUGUGGGUAGCAAACAGGAUUAGAUACCCUGGUAGUCCACACCGUAAACGAUGAUUACUAGGUGUUGGAGGAUUGACCCCUUCAGUGCCGCAGUUAACACAAUAAGUAAUCCACCUGGGGAGUACGACCGCAAGGUUGAAACUCAAAGGAAUUGACGGGGGCCCGCACAAGCAGUGGAGUAUGUGGUUUAAUUCGACGCAACGCGAAGAACCUUACCAAGUCUUGACAUCCCUUGACGAUGCUGGAAACAGUAUUUCUCUUCGGAGCAAGGAGACAGGUGGUGCAUGGUUGUCGUCAGCUCGUGUCGUGAGAUGUUGGGUUAAGUCC
rnacentral:rRNA from 1 species